UGAAUAUGGUCACUGUUUCUGUUAGUAGAAAUAUUGGAGAAAUAAAAUUCUAGAGGAGUAUAUUUAAUGAAAAAUGGUGAUAGUGGCUUUUCUAGAUGUUGGAAUUAUGAUUGAUUUUUGUUUUUCUCUCUGAGCCGCAUAUUCUAAAAUGAACCUGAAAAGUUUAUGUAACAUAUUUUUUUUAAAUGAAGCAAAGCCUGCUUCCUGUCAUCCCAUAUUCCAUCCAACCACUUUAC
rnacentral:lncRNA from 1 species